ensembl:lncRNA
GUGCGUGGGUAGGUAGGAGUGGCUUGUAUAUGUAUUAUGUAUGCGCUAGAUGGUGGAUAGGACAUCUGUCCCGUCUACUAUGGUAAAACGCCACACGAGGACGGUAAAGCUGGUCUAACUAGCCUGAGCGCAGUGUACCUUAACAGUAGGCUAUUACCAAAGGGGCGCUGUGUCCCGCGGGCUCAGAACGCCUCCCAGUGGUCGCACAUGGGAACUGCACGAGGGCUACCGCAGUCAUUUAUCAAUUCAGUGGGGCAACACAACAGGCCGACAUAAAGUUAUUUAUUACAGUGCAAUAGCUUAUCCAGGAGUUGGCCUAAAGUCACAAAAAGUCUUAACAUCAGUGAUAUUUUGUUUGAUUUGCUGUAUCACAAUUGUGUAGGAUGUGUUGGGUCAAAGAAUCAACGGUUCAGCAAAACUUUUUAUUAUAUUUUUUUUUUAAUUUACAAUGUAUAAAUAUGAGUCUAAAGACUACAAAGUCCAUGAAAAUACAGAGUUAAAUCUUUGAGCUUCAUCGCCAUUCACAAGUCUUGAAGAAAAUGCAAGCAAGAUAAGGGCAUGGCACACAAGGUCUAUUAAAUUACAUUUUUGAAAAUCAAAAGUUCAAGUCAUCUGUUUUACUCUCAAAACAUCAAUGUAGCAAUUCACAAAACACUGAUUCUAACACUAUUCUGUCACAUCAUGCCGUCGGUCACCUUAAAUUCACCCAAUCACUGAAAUCUCAUUGCAUCUUCACACUUGAACAAAUGUCGAAGAGUAAAAAUAAUAAAACAAAUCUAUUCCUAUAUAACUGGCUCUACUCUAAGCAUCUAAGCAGUGUGGCCGAAUGGAUAACUAACCCAGUAAGUCCAACUUUAAAAUAAAAUCCAUCACUUUUGAUUAAAUCAUUGGAAGACUUCAAGUGUUAAAGAGUAGAUAAAACUGCGCUUAGUGAGACAUAGAGCUGUGUUAUGCUAAACAUCCCUCUCCAGAGGAUAACACACGCACACACACGCGCACGCGCGCGGUCUGCUCUGCAGUGGAGCCCGUUCAACCGUUUAGCAGAGUGACAGCGCGCGCAGACACAAUGCACAGCGGGCUCACGAGGCGCUAACAAAGCUGACAGAAACCAUUAGCGAUCUCAUUUACCAAAGACCGGUACAUCGAGACCAGUGCAAAAUUACAAAUCCACCUGCACUCACUAUUCAAUCACACGGGUAAAUCUGUUACCCUGCUGCCUUAGGAGGACAGAGCACAACUAAAGAAAGGCUGAGGAGGCGCCAACAGGCUGAGGACAACGUCAAUGUCUGGCGCAACACAACUGGGGAAUCUUAUGCAACAGAACUAGAGACAAUGCUGUUUAGUCUUCACGUGUUCUAAUCGUAUCACUUGACAUAACGAGCUGAAUGGUCAUAUUGCAACAAUGCAAGACCAACAUGGCUUCAGUUCACAGAUGGCGGUGAGGCUUGCUUUGCCAGUUAAACCACGUAUCUUAUCACAACAAAGACAUUUCAGAAUAGUAAAACCACAAAUCAACUUGAACGUGAAAUGGCUGCCACAUAAACAAACCAACCAACCAAAAAAGAGACAGAACACAUAAAUAAACAUGCUUUAAACACCUACAACACCACAGCACAGGGGCAGCGUGUCCAAGUGUCUGUUGAACACUGAUGAACAUGUCUAGCACACAUCUUGGCGCAGAACAGGCUGCCAAUCAGGAACAGUUGGUGAGUCCUCUGGUGGCGCCCAGCCCCAGCUCUUGGCAUUAUGGGAUGUUGGCUGUGGAAGUUAACAACCUCACUGACUGACUGCCUGCAUCACAGCCAGCUCUCCGUGCUGAUCGGGAUCCCGGGGCCACAGAGGGGCAUUUAAUCGGUCUUGCCCCAGCCUGCUCGAGGGGGGGGGGGGGGGGGCAGUCAGCCUUGAGGUUGGGGCUGGCAGACACACAGAGAUGUCUGCUCCUGAUGCCAGGGUCGGGGCUCGGGGGGUUAGGCACAGGGCUUGCCAGCCUGCAUUCAUAAAGAGCUUUCUCAGGGAUGAUCUUACAGAGCAGCAUAGCUCUCUCUCUGCCCGGGGGCUAACGCUCUUUCAACUCCAGCAGGAAUGUUUCAUGAUAAAACAUUUUAAACUGGGGUAUGAGUGCCAACACCAGUCAACGGUAUCUGCUAUGGCCCACUAUGGGGAUGCCCAGUGAGACAGUAAUGGUAUGGCCCACUAUGGGGAGUGCCCAGUCAGACAGUAAUGGUAUGGCCCACUAUGGGGAUGCCCAGUCAGACAGUAAUGGUAUGGCCCACUAUGGGGAGUGCCCAGUCAGACACUAUGGGAGUACCCAGUCAGACAGUAAUGGUAUGGCCCACUAUGGGGAUGCCCAGUCAGAGAGUUAUAAGGGCACUUAUUUGGCGCAAAUGUCUGCCAGAUAACCUUUAUCCUUAUCAGCAGUGAAGACAAGCAACACCGUGGUCUUAAACUCAGACUCAACGAAUGUACUGACAGCGACUCAACAGAACUCAGAGCAAGGGACACUCAAACAGACUGAUACCACUGGGUCCAAUCAUACAUCAUGCAGUUGCAUUCUGGGAGCUCUGUGGGGACAGAUAUAAUUAAACUGGAGCGAAGCAUGGGCAGUGAAAACACACAAAUAAACAAACAACAAACAAUAAACAAAUCCCUUAUACUUGAUCCUUUCAGGACAGGAGUGACUGGUAACAUGAACCAUCAAAAAAACAAAUGAAAUGACUGCAACCAGUAUAGCUUCACAUUCAGAGGUUAAUGACAUCUUGGAGUGUGUAAACGACUGCAAUCCCAGCUCUCACGGCUGCCGUUUGUUUUCAUUUCACAUCUUAAUGAGGCAAUCUGUCAGAGAAAUAAUCGCUCGCUGAAACACGCAUCCCACCAGAUCAGACUGGCGCUAACGCAACUCCUGAUUGGCUCAUCGACCUGAGCUCUCCUUAUUGUCCAAUCAGGGCUAUUGACCUUGGAGAGCAUGAUUAAAGUAAUGUGUUUCCCAAUAGUACAGUGCAUCCUGUGUUUAUUGUUUAUCAUUUUCUAGCACUGUGAAAUGUAAACAAACAAUGAAAUAAAACAGGAACAUGCAGACAAUGCACAGCGACAACAGAGUAACUUAAAAAAUAAAAUAAAAGCCCCUUGUGAAUGAGAUCAUUGCUGUGGAAGACCACCUACUGCAGGGGUGAGGCUGACACACACACACACACACACACACACACACACACACACACACAGGGGCUGUU